AGUGAACGCUGGCGGUAGGCCUAACACAUGCAAGUCGAACGGCAGCACAGUAAGAUCUUGCUCUUACGGGUGGCGAGUGGCGGACGGGUGAGGAAUACAUCGGAAUCUACUUUUUCGUGGGGGAUAACGUAGGGAAACUUACGCUAAUACCGCAUACGACCUACGGGUGAAAGCAGGGGAUCUUCGCACCUUGCGCGAUUGAAUUAGCCGAUGUCGGAUUAGCUAGUUGGCGGGGUAAAGGCCCACCAAGGCGACGAUCCGUAGCUGGUCUGAGAGGAUGAUCAGCCACACUGGAACUGAGACACGGUCCAGACUCCUAAGGGAGGCAGCAGUGGGGAAUAUUGGACAAUGGGCGCAAGCCUGAUCCAGCCAUAGCGCGUGGGUGAAGAAGGCCUUCGGGUUGUAAAGCCCUUUUGUUGGGAAAGAAAAGCAGCAGGUUAAUACCCCGCUGUUCUGACGGUACCCAAAGAAUAAGCACCGGCUAACUUCGUG
rnacentral:rRNA from 1 species